GUCCAGCUGACGAGUCUCAAAUAGGACGAAACGCGCGUCCUGAAU
rnacentral:hammerhead_ribozyme from 1 species